rnacentral:rRNA from 1 species
UGUGUGCCCCUUCCUCGAUGUGCGCAAGCUCGUCUUGGUCUGGGGACCACGUCGACACAGGGGGAUACUCUUGUGAGAGCAUGAGUGUACUAAGUUGAGUGUAGCAAGGGAACGCGUGCCCCUUCCUCGUUGGCGUAACUAACCAUCUUGGUCUGGGGACCGUGGUACCGUGCUCUGGUGAAGCUUGGUGCGUGCUCCUUCCUUGUCAGACGAGUGACUUGACCUGGUCUGGAGACCGUUCCUUUAUACUAGUGGACAAGA